GGGUGUAGGGCUGAAUUGACUGUGAUCUCUGACGCUUGGUUACCACAAUAAUUCAGUUUACCUGUCUGGGUAGGUUCAUGCCCCUUCUUCAUCACUCCAUAUGCAACUCUCCAAAAAUGGAAGAGAAUGGCCUUCCCCAAGGGAAGGUCUUGGUCAAGGCUGUAUGAGUAGCUUCACUCUCCUGCUUGAACCUCCAGACAAGCUUUCAGGGUCCAUUGUAGGAUAAUGUAGGGUAGUCAGGCCUUGAAAACUACACCUACCAGAGAGGUGCUCUAUAUGGUAGUGGUCAGCCUUGUUUU
ensembl:misc_RNA 7SK 7SK RNA